CUUUUCAGCUUCUGGCAACAAAUGGCCACAAACCGAUCAAAGGUGAAAGUGACGGUGAACCAGACAGAGCAGUCAGUGGCUGCAUAAAGCAGGACGGCGUGGAUAUUACACACGGGGACGGAGUACAUCAGGAAAUAAAACUGUUCCCGAUAAACAAUGGGAAUGUGUCUCAGGAUCAGGUCGAGGAUAAUGACCAGGAGAUCCGCCGCUGCCAUGGCCCCCAGGGACAUAUAAACAUAUCUUCAAAUCGACCGAGACCAUUUUCUGCUCAGGGUAUGGCUCUGUGUAUGACAGCAGCAAUGAUGCACCGACAUGGAACAGGGAAUGUGAUGGAGACAUAGUUUGGACAAUGUACAAGGAGACCUCACAUGGUCCAGUAUUGGGAGAGAAUGACAUUAUUGUGUGAUUCAACUCAGAGAGGGAGACAAUGUCAUCUGCCAGAGAAGAAACAGCCUAUUGCACUCUCUCUCCUUCAUUAUUCCCCAUCACAGUAACGUGUACGAGCUAAAACAAAAGUCUACUGUCAUUGUUACCAUUCUUAUUUUUAUAGAAUCCUGCAGUGUGGAAACAAGCCCUUCGGCCCAACAAGUCCAUACCAACCUUCCAAAGAGUAACCUUCCCAUGCCCUUACAGUUACCACUGACUAGUGCACCUAAAGUAGAAAUCGCUGAACACUGUGGACUAUUUGACCAACCCACUUGAAUUAUACAGCUUUGGGCUGUGGGAGGAAAUGGGAGCGCCCAUCAGAAGCUCACGCAGACAAGGGGAGAAGAUGCAAACUCCACCCAGAUAGUCGCCCGAGGCUGGAAUUGAACUCAUACCCCUGAUGCUGUGAUGGAACACUGCGAACUCCUGAGCCACUGUGCUAACCUGGAACCUCCUGACUGCCGAAUGCAAAGGGAAUUCAGCCCAAUUCCAACUGUCCCAGGAUAAAAUCCCAUUGCUAGCAGCUGUAUGCAAUGUUACUGGACAAACAACUCGGUGUGAAGCAUAACCCCAUUUGCUUAAAUACGAUAGAUGAAAUAAAACCAAAGAAAGAAGAAUUUAGAAUAAUGUAUUUAUAUUGGACAAGUUAACAGAACAAUAGAUCUAGGAACUAAUACUAAUGAACUGUUCCAAUACUGGAAAAUCACAUGAACACAGCCCUUGGAAAAAAGGAAUAUUCAGACACUGAAUGACACAAAUAUUUCUCCAAUUCAGGAUUUAAAAACAGCACCAAGAGAAAAUUCAUAGAGAGGAGCUGCCAGGAGACAUUCACUAAAACUUUCAACUCGGUGGAGACCCCAAUAAUUUCUGAUGUUACUGAGAAACCGAAACCCAGAAAUCCUAAUCUGUGAAAGCUGACCACACCCAUUCCAUCUGCAUUAAAAUAAACCCAAGGCAUCACUAGUUGUUUAUUCAAGUGGUCCUAACUAGCCAGCUUGGUAACGGUCAUUCAAUCUCUCUCUUAAAAUAAACCAGAACAAAAUAACUUCUUAAAGCUACAGCAUCAUCACACUAGUCAGCACAUCGAGCUGUCAUUCAGGAACCAGGGGUAACACAAUCAGGCCUUUGACCCAAUCGGACGAGGAAGUAGCCAGUCAGUCCCUUGAGUGACUUACACAGGAACAGUAGGAGGCCAUUCCCACCUCAAUGCACUUACACGGGGCAGAAUGAGGUAAUUGAUGCUGAUUCCUGAUGAACGGCUUAUGCUCGAAACGUCGAUUCUCCUGCUGUGCUUUUCCAGCAAACCACUGUCUACUCUGAUCUUCAGCAUCAACAGUCCUCGCUGUCUCCUAAUUGAUGCUCUAACAUGAUGACCAAGUGGAGCAGAGGCUGCACACACAGACUGCUCCACGUUGUUCCUCGUAGCUCCGUCUGUCAUGAUACACACGUGGGACUUUAACGUGGUUUUCUCGCGGUGAGGAGGGAAGACAUAUGUCUUGUGUGAAGUUACAAGAAGGCUCCUUCCAUCUCCGGGAAGCCAGCCUGGUGUUCUCUAUGUAGGGUGGAUGCUGAUGGGAAUGGCUACCUGUUUCAGAUGGAAGGUAUUGUGGCUGCUGUUGGGGAUUGUGAGCAACCUGACGUUCAGUUCGGGUUCACACGCCGACUACACAAUAACGUGGGGAGAGUUAAUUAAGGCAUAUAAACUAUUAGGAAAGUCACGUUAGACUGAUGGAUGGACUCUCUAAAUUCAAAUAAUGCUGAUCUUGUUCAUGUUGAUCUUGUCUAGUGCACAUCCUGUUCAAUGUAACCGUUAUGCCUUACUCUGUCCAAGUCUAUUUCCACCCUAUGAUCUGUCUGGCCAUGUUUACUAUGAUCUGCCUCCACUGCUCAUAAAUAAAGUGUUUCCCUGUACUGAGGUACACGUGACAAUAAAUCAAACCAAUAACUCC